GAAACCAACUGGGAUUGCCUUAGUAACGGCGAGUGAAGCGGCAAAAGCUCAAAUUUGAAAUCUGGUACCUUUGGUGCCCGAGUUGUAAUUUGGAGAGUACCACUUUGGGACUGUACUUUGCCUAUGUUCCUUGGAACAGGACGUCAUGGAGGGUGAGAAUCCCGUGUGGCGAGGGUGUCAGUUCUUUGUAAAGGGUGCUCGAAGAGUCGAGUUGUUUGGGAAUGCAGCUCUAAGUGGGUGGUAAAUUCCAUCUAAAGCUAAAUACAGGCGAGAGACCGAUAGCGAACAAGUACAGUGAUGGAAAGAUGAAAAGAACUUUGAAAAGAGAGUGAAAAAGUACGUGAAAUUGUUGAAAGGGAAGGGCAUUUGAUCAGACAUGGUGUUUUGCGCCCCUUGCCUCUCGUGGGCUUGGGACUCUCGCAGCUCACUGGGCCAGCAUCGGUUUUGGCGGCCGGAAAAAACCUAGGGAAUGUGGCUCUGCGCCUCGGUGUAGAGUGUUAUAGC
rnacentral:rRNA from 1 species